rnacentral:lncRNA from 1 species
AGCCCCGUGCUUCCAGAGAGCUCAGCUGUUGAGUCAGCUGAGCCGGGGGCUUUGCGAAGCACCGAGGGGGAAAGGCGUUCUCCUCGACAGGCCUGAUCAAAGCGGUGAGACAAGCACGCGGCUGCUGUUGGGAUGCUUUGCAAG